GUCUUUGACCAUCUCUUGGCACUCUGUUCCACCCUAUCUUUUUUCAUACUUUUCCCUCAUUUUACAGGUCUUUUCUUAGUUUUUUUGGUACUUUGGUCUUUUCCACACUUUUGUCUCACUUUUGUGAGACAAGUGAGGUCGGCCUCACUUUCUAGACAUCUGACCACGUCCCCUCUGAUGUAUCUGAUGGCCAGCUGUUCUCUUUCUCCAUCCACAGCCGACAGCCUCCUGCUUUCCUCCACUCCUGCCUCAUCUUGCUUCUCCUCUUGCUGCAGAAGAGGCUCUCAACAGGAGUCCACCAACUGCUGCUGCUGAUUGAACUUCAUAAUUAGAAAGAUUAUACUUUUGGCAUCUUGACUUGGGGUAAAGUAUUCACUAAGGAGGACAUGCAUUGCCGGAGCAUCUUAUUCCUCUGUCAGAGUUUACUUUAUCACCUUGAAUGCCUUGAAAGGGGGGCUCAAUAAGAACAAAACCUUCCCACAGCAACUCUUCUGUCUCGGUAUGACAGCCCUUGUCGCCAGAGGAAGAGGCUGAGAGCCAGUGAUCAAAUCUGAACUCAGCGUGGGGUCCACAGAGGUUGCUCCGAUGCUCAUUCAGUUGACUCUUACUGUCCCCUCUGGUCCAGACCUCAUCACAACCAUCAUUGCUUUUGACUUUCAGAGGUCUGUGAGGGACCUUCAUCAUCUUUAAUUUCUAUACAGCUGAGGACACAGAGGCUCAAGAUUUCAAGCGACUUGCCCAAGUCAGAAUCGGUCAACUGGAACCUUCUCAGGAGGAAGGGUGGCCAAGGGUCUGGCCUGGCGUGGACCUCCUUCUCCUGCCUGUGAGGUCAGGAGCCCACGCCCUCCACUGAGGUACUGCCUUACAGCAGUGGCAGAGCACUAAACAGGGAAUUCCUUUCUGCGGACUCUCAGACACAAAUGCAGAGUUCACAGGUCUCCACUCUUUCCCACAGAUGAGCAUGUGUUUCUGUGGAAAGACCACACAGAGUUUGGAUCUCUGUGUUGUUUCCAGAUCGGGCCUGUGUUGGCCAUGUAGCCCGAGUCAAAUUAUGAACCAGGCCACAUUCAGCUGGAAGGAAUUUGGGGAUGGCCUCUGCUGUGCAUCAGAACCACCAGGACAGCUCGUUACAGCAGAUUCCUGGGCCUCACUCCUGGGACUCUGAUUCAGCAGGUCCGCAGAGGCACACUAGAUUUUCCAACAAGCUUCCAGGACGUGCCCAUGCUGCCAACCCAUGGACUCCACUUGAGUAUCACUGGCCCACAAUAACCUUAAUAUGGAUUGGCAAACUCUUUCCUAACGGCCAGUUACUCAACAUUUUAGGCUUUGCCGUAAUCUUUAGGCAGUACAAUCUGUAUCACAACUACUCAACGGUGCCGGAAAGGGGCUACAGACAACCUCUAUGUGAAUGGGUGUGUCUUGUCUCCUGAUAAAUCUUCGCAAAAACAGGAAGAGGCCGUGGGCUGCAGUUUGCUGAUCUUGAGUUCUUCCCUACCACUCCUCGCUUUUUAUUGUAAAAUGGGGAAAACAUUCCUGUCUUAUUUUUCUCCCUGGCUGUGAUGAAGAUAAGGUAUAA
ensembl:lncRNA